UGAGGAAUAUUGGUCAAUGGGCGGGGAGCCUGAACCAGCCAAGUCGCGUGAGGGAAGACGGUCUUACGGAUUGUAAACCUCUUUUGCCGGGGAGCAAAGGGCGCCACGCGUGGCGUUUCGAGAGUACCCGGAGAAAAAGCAUCGGCUAACUCCGUGCC
rnacentral:rRNA from 1 species